AUGAAGGCAAUGAUUGGAAGGAGUAUUUAUAUUUCUACAUAAAGAGAAGAAGUGGAAGGUGAAAACUUCUUGUAGGAUAUACUGAAGCAGUCCAGGAGUCAUAAGCUUUAAAGAGACACAGCUUUAUUUUAAGAAGUGAUUACUGAACUCAAGUUUUAAUUUUCAUGUAUUUAUAAAUUAAAACGUUUUAGCUGUGUAAUUAGGGUGGUACCACGGAAACAGCUUUCGUCCCUUUU
rnacentral:ncRNA from 1 species